GAGUGGGAAUUCAUUCCCAACCAAACCUCGUAUCUUGAUCUUACCCUUCACAGCCCCAAGAAGGAGCUGCACUUCAAUCCCCAGAUCGAUUACUUCGUCUGCCCAUCUGCAUCAAUUCAAGAGAAGGAUGUAGAUGAACCAGAGUUCAAAGAGAACAUCGGCGCCGUACCAGAGUUCAAAGAAAACAUCGAUUUCGCACCAGAGUUCAAAGAGAAGGAUGUAGAUGAACCAGAGUUCAA
rnacentral:misc_RNA from 1 species